rnacentral:tRNA from 1 species
UACCGCGUAGCUCAGUUCGAAGAGCAUUGGGCUAGUAUUCCAAAGGUCGUAGGUUCGAAUCCCACCGUGGUCG